UUUCCGUAGGUGAACCUGCGGAAGGAUCAUUAUUGUAUAACCGAGAUGCGAGGGCUGUCGCUGACCCGAAAGGUCGUGCACGCCCGAGUGCCCUCACACACAUCCAUCUCACCCCUAUGUGCACCACCGCGUGGGUCCCCCUUUGGCUUGUUCGGAGGGGGGCUUACGUUUUCACACAAACUUUGUAUGCAGUGUAGAAUAUAUUUUUUGUUUUUGCGAUCACGCAAUCAAUACAACUUUCAACAACGGAUCUCUUGGCUCUC
rnacentral:misc_RNA from 1 species